rnacentral:tRNA from 1 species
GGAGAUGUGGCCGAGCCCGGUUGAAGGCAGCGGAUUUCCAAUCCGUACAGGACGCUAGCCCCGUCCUGCGGGGGUUCAAAUCCCCCCAUCUCCG